UACGUAGGGGGCAAGCGUUGUCCGGAUUUAUUGGGCGUAAAGAGCUCGUAGGCGGUGUGUCACGUCGGCCGUGAAAACCUGCAGCUUAACUGUGGGCGUGCGGUCGAUACGGGCAUCACUGGAGUUCGGCAGGGGAGACUGGAAUUCCUGGUGUAGCGGUGAAAUGCGCAGAUAUCAGGAGGAACACCGGUGGCGAAGGCGGGUCUCUGGGCCGUAACUGACGCUGAGGAGCGAAAGCGUGGGGAGCGAACAGG
rnacentral:rRNA from 1 species